rnacentral:tRNA from 1 species
GGUAAGAUGGCCGAGCGGUUAAGGCGUGUGACUCAAGCUGAAAAAGCUUCUCUUCUCAUGGGGGAAACCCCGCCAGAGUUCAAAUCUCUGUCUUACCA